rnacentral:rRNA from 1 species
UACAGAGGUCUCGAGCGUUUGUUCGGAUUCAUUGGGCGUAAAGGGCGCGUAGGCGGCGGGGCAAGUCGGGUGUGAAAUCUCAGAGCUCAACUCUGAAAACUGCACUCGAUACUGCUUUGCUUGAGGACUGGAGAGGAGAUUGGAAUUCACGGUGUAGCAGUGAAAUGCGUAGAUAUCGUGAGGAAGACCAGUGGCGAAGGCGGAUCUCUGGACAGUUCCUGACGCUGAGGCGCGAAGGCCAGGGGGAGCAAAACGGGG